AUGAAGAUGCUAAUAACCUGCACCCAAUUGACAGCCCUAUUGGUGUAUGUGUUCAGUCAGCUCUCUGCGGCUCCUGUGACACUCCAUUGUGAGGGGAAAGUGCAACUAAACGGAUCCUACGGGUUUACACUGCAGCCCAUCAUUACGGACCUUCUUAAGGAUCCCUCCUGUGAAGUACAGUUGAUUACUGAGAAUACUGUAAGGGCUAUAUAUGAGAAGGGGAAUGUGCCUGCCUACUUGUCAUCACCAGUCCUUAAAGCCACGAUGCACCAUUUCACUUUGAGCAACUGCCCCAACUCCGUCACACUGGAUGUAGAUUGCCCACACAGACAAAAGGUCCCAAGAACAGUACACUGCCAUUGUUCAGUCCAGUCCAUAACCUCCACUUCCACACCGCUAACCUCAGUAUCGAAGGCAGACAACACCAACAGUGUUGUCUCUGGUGUUGCUAUUGGUCUUGGUCUUGGUCUUGUUGGUGUCGCUGCCAUUGCCAUUGCCAUCACCUGGUUCAUCUUCAAACACAGCAAGAAGAGGAAUGAUGUCUUCAUGAAGAAAAACAACAGAGGCACAUCAGCAAGCAGCUCCACUGAUGAACUUGGUGCUGCAAACAUGAUGCUCAGACACGACGAUCAAGCCUGACCUGCAGUGAUGUUAAUGCAUUGUAAUGCACAGUCCUAGCUCUGUAAAUGGGAAACAAAUGUAUGGCUCGGACCAAGCAAUACACUAUUGAACACAUUACUUCAAGAGCACUGAAGGAAAGGGUGUAAUUUGAUUGGCUGUCACACUCAAAUAUCAACAAAAUUGUGCCAGAAUUGCAGACUGUUCCUUUAAAGCAGCAAUAUGGAGUUCUGUUCCAAAACUAGCAAGCUAACUACCCAAAAGUUAUGCAAAAACCUUGCAAACACCACCAACAGCCCAGCUGACACUGAUAGAAGCUUGCCAACACACUAAUUGGUGCCUUUUGGCAGUAUAGCUGGCAGUGUCAUGCUGUGAAAGCUUUUCUUCCAUUUCUGCAGGGUGUUCCAGCCCGGUAAAAAGAACUACAUAGGGCAUAUCCUGGAUGGCUAGUGGGGAAGACACAGGUGUUUAUCUGUCCUUCACAUGACCAUAUGCAAUCAAAAUUAAUUUGAGGAUGGUACGAAAACUAGUUGCCUAUAAAACCAUACCUCAAAAAGUGUCAAAUUGUUGCAUAGUGUUACUUUAACACGUACGGUAUGUGGUAAUGGUUAAAAUGAAGUGGUACUGUAAUGGCAAGGUAAUGUUAUGCUAUUCUGAGGUGGAGGUCUCCAAGGAUUGCUAUAACAAGCAGUCAUCUGUCCGUUUUUGCCUCGAUGUUCUGGUGCAAACUGUUAUACAUACUAGUCAGCAUUUCCUGUUUCUGGAAGGAUACAAAUCUGAAUAGAAUUUUAGGAAGAUCGUUUACAUAAGGGGGGGACAAAGGCUUACCCCAAAUGGUAAGAAUAUGUGUUUAUUCCACACAGCUGGGGUCUGCUACCUAAGGUGCUAAAGAGCAUUGGGACACACACAAACACACACCCACAUAAACACACACACACUAUUUAAUGUUAUGACUCCUGUUUCGGGUUUGUAAGAUUGUUGUCCUCCUGUGUGUCUGUCCUUCCUAUCAAGAGCUGUGAGAUAUAUUUAAGUGUUAAAUAUAUAUUCAAAUAUUAUAUAUUUUUUGAUAUAAUAUUUCGAGUAUAUUUGUAUUUUGUAUGAUUCUAUUUUGUUAUUAAAUAAUUCAUUUAAAUAUUUAAGGACUCAUUGUUUUUUUUUAUGGAGUGCCAAGUGCACUGAGAAUGAGGAGAGUAAACACUGUCAACAAAGACUGUAAACACAAUCAAUACAUACGUCUGUAGAAAGUAUGCAACAUAUCAAAAAACAUGUCCUCUCCGACGUUGCAAACCCUCUCCGAGCACCUCUCCGUGGCCUGACGUGCACCUCCCAAAUUUUGCAACUAUCCAACUCCGUCAAUCCGUCAAUACAUCAGUAUCAAUGCUUUACAACACCCACAACCGUCGGAGAACCAUAAAUGAAAACGAGUCCGUCGAGGCAACUGCGUGACCACGGAGUAACGGAGUCGUAGGAGUAUAUUUCGGCCUUAAGAUGUAGCCUCUAAGAUAUGCUAAGUCAUUCACAGAGCAUAAAAGGGCAACUGCACUUCCUCUUGGCCCAUGACGUGGAAUAUGAUCGACGUUCAGCAAUGCCACUACCAGCCUGGUGGGGAAAAUAAGGUGUGGUCUCCUUACUUGGGUUAGUGCUUUACUGUCAUCAUCUCACUGAGUCGUGCAAUGUGUACAAAACCAUGCAACCCAAUGCUACAGAAAGCUUUUGAAAUGUUGCCUUUUCUUCUUAACAGUCACAUCCAUAUGACUCAUAUUGUCUGUAGAUCCAUCCACCACCUGAUCAACACAUGAAUGAUAUGUGGUUAGAAUGUGGUCAGAAUUAUUUUUCAACAAAACCCAGUGAGAUUAUUAUAUGAGUACUUGCAUGUGAGAGUGAGAGGAUUGGCCACUGUGGGAAUUCCCCAACCAGUAGCACAAGGAAUUUAGCACCUCUCCUGUGUAUAACUAAACAAAAUGGCCUUGUGAGGAGACAGGAUCCCAACAUGUUAAUUUGAUAAAUAUGACUUAAUCAGCCUCCUAAUCCUUGCACUUACUGUACAACAUGACGGGUGCAAGCCACAGCAACCAUAACACACUUCAAUGGCCCACUUGUUUGGUUUGCCUCAAUGGUCGAUUACUUGGAACACAUGCCGUGGUCUACCCAGAGUCCUUAUUGAGUGUUUAAAAAUGUGGUGUGGGCUCACCUCAGAGUAUUAUAUGACAUUACACAAACACACCACAGCACCUGCUCAUGUAUAACUGUACCCCUCACUCCCCUCUCUAUUCUGGAAUCUUUGUAGUAUGUGGUAGGAAUGAUGCUAGUAAUUCAGCUUUUUCACGACUUUUUGCAUAGCAGUAACAGAUAAUACAUGAAGUGAUUUAACUGCAUAAACCGCAUGCAGUAAUGUUGCUUCUAGAGCAUGCAAGGGAGGGGUGUAUUUGACUAUUUCGCCCGGAUCAAAGAUAACAUACGUGAUAUUGUGAUUCUAUGUAAUAAACACUUACAAUUUACAUCGUCUGAUCCA
rnacentral:lncRNA from 1 species